UUAUGUUAGCGGUGGUGAAAUUGGUUGUAUGAAGUGGUGUCCUCCGCCCUCUACCAAAAGCUAACAGUUAGUCUACCGAGCGUUCGUUUACGUAACUGCGAGCAAAAUGUUUGCGUUUUCCCACCAAUUUACGACUGAGCAAUUUAACGGACACAGGCGCCGUCUGGCCAAUGUGAAUUUGACAUAAUAAAGCAAUUCUGAGUACAAAAUGAAGUCCUGUAGUCUCAUGCUGAAAUGGUUUGCCGUAAAGGACAGCUGUAGACUCAGACUGAAUAUGACGGCAUCUGAUGAUCAAGUGCAAAAAUCCAAGCUGAUGGAGUGGAGCGAGGAACAUGAUGUACUUUUUCUGAGAGAAAUGCCAGCAAGAAGUGUUUUUGGAGCAAAGAAAGAAGUCCCGCUCGUGGACUGACCAUUUAGUAUUAUGUUAACUGUUUUUAACAUUAAAUGAACGUGAGGUGAUUAUAACUUAAAAGGAGCCAGAAUUUGCGGCUCGAGAGCCUUUUUAGCAUCACAAGAAAAUGAAAUACGACGAUGAAAUAAUCGUUCAUCAUUUAUUAUUCAUUGAUUUAUUAAUUCAUCACACUCCAAAGGAACGGGGAUGGUUGAACAUAUCGAGGGGUUAAGAAAGAUUGCAAACGACUCACUUGUUAGCUUAAAACAUUGAUGGAAUGCUAUGUUUUCAAGUUGCACAAACUACGACCUUGCUCCGAAAUGGUUCAGUUUGCUCCGACGGAAGUACAUUGCAUAUGGCAGUCGUUGUCUGACGAAGUAAUUCUCUCGCUUGUCAUCCAGACGGAGUUAUGGAUAUUUUUGAUAUCCAAUCAACUCUGCUCAGCUGUUCACUCCACAAGGAGUAUUUCAUCUCUUCUUUUGGAUGCUACUAGUAAAGAUCGACCCUCUAACUCCCUCUGACUCUUGGAAGUGUUUAGCAUUAGAAUUCACCUCACAACAUAACUGAAUCAAGCCAAUUUAUCAUUGAGAACUGAAGUUGGUGUCCAUCGUUCCCUUGCGAAUUCUACUUUUAAAAAAAUGUUGAAAAAAUAACAACAAACAAAUACAUGGACAAACAUACAAACGAGAUCCAUCUUCUAUCACUUGGAGAAGCCAACUUUUCUUUUCUUUUUCUGUGAUCAGUGGUGGUAUAUUUCUCUUUUUAUAAUUUACACUUCGGUUUAAGAGGAAAAAAUGAGGUUGGACCAAAAGAAACGACCACGAAGGGACUCGAACCCCCAAUCUUCCGAUCCGAAGUCGGACGCCUUAUCCAUUAGGCCACGCGGCCAACCAUAAAACUUACGGUUAGUUGUAAAUAGUUGACCAAAGUUUCAUCCAAAAACUAUAAAUCAUCCAAGUUUGUUAUCGUUUUAGGCCAAAAUAUUUAGGUAGUACAAGUUAAAUUGUUUCUAAUUUUUGCGGGGAAAAGCAGGUGUCAACUCUUAUAGACCUCCAAUGUCUGAAAUUUCUUUCCAUGAUCAAUCUUCAGGAUGAAGAACUCAUCGCGGUGUAAUAGUGAGAUGGUAUUGAAUUAGAUAUUUUAUUUCAACUAAAAAAUACCAACAGGACAAUGCAACAAGUCUUCA